UUUUUUUAUGUUAUUAAUUUUUAGUAAAAAAAAAUAUACAAGUAACAAUCAGCUAACAUUUUUUAUUUUGUAAAUUAUUUUUUAAUAAGUUGGUAGCUCAUUUUUAAUAAACCGUCUUUAAUAUAUUAAUAUAAAAGCAAAAAUACGAUAAGUAACUGACAGGAUUAUUAACUAACAGGAUUAGUAACUGACAGGAAAAGGUAACUAACAGGAAAAGGUAACUAACAGGAUAGGUAACAUUCUCACAUGGACAAAAUGAACACGACAUAUUAUAAAGAAAGAGAUCAAAACCAAACAGACAACGUAAAUAAAACAAACGAGUUGGAGAGUUCGAGUUUUUCUAAUGAAAACAACUAUGUUUUUAUUGAUGAAAAAUAUAAAGAAUAUUUUGAAUUGAUUUGUGACAUGUUUGAAGAAAAAGUUGAAUAUAUUUUAAAAAAACAUUUUAAAACUAAUGAUCCAUUAAAUAAAAAUAAAUUAUUAUGUUUAAAUGUUUGUGUUUUAUGGAGGAAGAGGUUUUUACAACUGCUUAGUAAAACAUUAAAUGAAUAUGACGAGUAUAAAAAAGCAAAUAACAUUAAUAAUGAACAAAGUAAUGAUAAAAGUAACGAUAAAAGUAAUGAUAAAAGUAACGAUAAAAGUAAUGAAAAAAGUGACGAAAAAUGUAACGAAAAAAAGUGACGAAAAAUGUAACGAAAAAAGUGAUGAAAAAUGUAACGAAAAAAGUGACGAAAAAAGUGACGAAAAAAGUAAUGAUAAUAAUAAGAACAUACAAGAAGAUAAAAAAGAUAUAAAUACAAGUGAUAGUGACAAAAAAAAUGAAGCAAAUAAUGACAAUAAUAAGGAUACAAUGAAUGAUAAAAUAAACACAGAUGAUAAAAAUGUUAAUAAUACUAC
rnacentral:lncRNA from 1 species